CGUGGCGGAUUCAGUCAUCAGGUAUGUUGCAAUACUCCCGUUUGCUGCCAGACUAAUAACAUGGUUUAAUCAAUGUUUGUCUUCACCUGUAGCUUCGUGGUCACCGGCUAGUCUACUCCUGCUGCCCGUGUGUUAGACACCAUCCCUUAUUCAUUCUACAGCUGAACGUGGGUGAGUGCUCUCCAUACGGCGCUUUGUGCACUAUUCGUAGUUACGAACAUAGGUAGCGCGGCCUUUUCCAUCUACGCGGGGUGCAUAGCGUGGGUCGUGCUGCUGUCUUGUCUGUAUUUUAUUUUGGUGUAGCCUAAUUGUGUGCGGUUUUUCAAGUACGUUCUGUGUCUGUUGUUUCUUUUUGUGGGCAUUAACUUAGUGUCUACGUCUGCCUGUGUUUGGGUUUAUUUGGCGUUUAUGUCAGUCUGCAUGUUGCUUGCCGCAUUAGUAGAGAGGAACGGGGCAUAAGUGGCAUAUGCUUCAUCCUGGUAACUGCUUAGGUUCUGUCUGGUGCUGGCUGUCAUUUGCGUGUGUUUGUAUUUCUUUUGUCCUGGUGUGCCUGCAUUAUCUACCAUAACGUCUGUAUUGGCUGACCUUGUGGUGCUGUUUUAUUUGUUUGUUUGGCAGAUGUGGGGCCCUCUUUGAGGGAGGCUAGUCACCUGGUGGUGGGACCCUGUAGCUGCACAUUUGUGGUGUCAUUGUUGCUUGCGGUGGGCUGCUGUGUCACUGGUAAGUCACUUUCUUGCAGUGUGUAUGCACGUGUGAUGGCUGGAACUUAGAACACACCUCCAGUUAGUCUGUCUCCCUCAGGUAAGCCCCCAUCUGCUGUAUCUUUUUAGCUCCAGUGGAGCCUGGCCCCACUUUAGAAAUCACCUGUUCAUAUUGUAUCAUAAUAAAA